GACGAACGCUGGCGGCGUGCUUAACACAUGCAAGUCGAACGGAAAGGCGCUGCUUUUGUGGGGUGCUCGAGUGGCGAACGGGGGAGUAACACAUGAGUAAACUGCACUUGAAUUUGGGAUAACUUCAGGAAACUGGGGCUAAUACCGGGGAUAAGCUCCUGAAGCAUGGGGGGGGUUGGAGAGUGUCGGCGGUGGUGGCUGGAUUCGCGGCUUAUGGGCUGGUUGGUGGAGUAGUGGCUUACAAAGGCUUUGAAGGCUAGCCGGCCUGGGAGGGUGACCGGCGACAUGGGGCCUAAGAGACGGCGCAGAAUCCUACGGGAGGCAGUAGGCGGGAAUAUGGCACAACGGGCGGAAGCCUGAGGCAGCAACGCCGCGUUCGUGAUGACGGCUUUCGGGUUGUAAACCGCUUUCGCCUGUGACGAAGCGUGAGUGACGGUAAUGGGUAAAGAAGCACCGGCUAACUACGUG
rnacentral:rRNA from 1 species